ensembl:lncRNA
GGCCUCCGGAGCUCCCGGCCCCCAGCCAGGGAACACUUUGUGAGAGCAUUUGAACGGCCUCAGCCCAGAGCCCAAAACACGCCAUGGCCUGGGGGGCCUGCACACCGCAGCCAGACGGAACAGCUCCCUCCAGCACCAGGGAUAACACCCUGUCCAGGUUUUGGUGCCACUUGUUCACCGGAUGUUCCAGACACACAGGGAGAAGGGAAGGAUGCCGGGAAGCCCCGGGGAUGCGUCUCCCCUUACGCAGUGAGCAACAGGAACAGGUGGCCAGAACCGAGCGCUGCCACCCCUCCACCUGCCUGACUGGCUCCCCUAUCUGUCAGGGCUGGGACCUGGGACCGGCACCUCCAAGCCAGCAGCUGCUGCAGGCCGGGCAGGCGAGAGAACAUGAAAGGAAGGUUUGGGAGCAACUUGGCUACUGCUACAAAGUGGGGAGGAAAGGAAGCCAAAGAUGAAAGGGGAACAUUGGGAAACCGAAAGAGAUGACCUCAGGCAGAGGGAAAGGCCUGACUGUGGGAGGAGCAGCCCUGCAGAGCCUGGUCCAGCGGCAGGAACCGGACGGCGGCGGCGGGACCGCGUGCGCGCGCGAGGAACACCUGUGUGCUCAGGUGACACGGCUUGUUGCGCAACCCACAAGAACAGACAGCGCGCUCCUGUUCUCCUUCGGAAGAGAGCCAGGGGAUCCACGGCCCUGCCUGCUGUGCCAUCCACAUGAGGUGCGUCUUCAGACCGUACAAGACGGGGAGCAGCUUCCACUGUGGCCAUUACAGAAAGAUCUCCAACAAGCAUGCGACCUUGAAUGGACAAGUGUCCCAGAGCAGUGGCUGGGGCUGGGGCAUGUGUGGAAAGAGGCUUUCUCUACUGUGACUUCCAUGGGAAAAGUCCCAUGUCACAAUCUGGAAUCGGUCACUGCCCCCCCCCCCCCCCCCGCCGUGUCAUUAUCAAAAGCUACAGGUGGGCUGACAAGGACUGAGCUCUGAGCUUGGUGUUGCUAACACUGUUCUUACAGCUGCAUUUCUGAUCGCUGAGUUUUGCUUCUCUCUGAUCGCGUGAUAAGGAUGGCAUUACCAUGAUUUGGGCUGUUCUGGUCAUUAAAAAAUAACCCAAAACAACAACACAACAGUUGGCUUUUAAAUCCUUCAAUAUCAUUAAGCUACUGCUGGUUACCUGUAGCAACUGUUUAUUAAAAUGGAAAAGCCAGUGGGGGAAAAAAAAAACAAGCAUUCUAUUUGCUCUCAGCAAGCCAGCUGAGGGGACAGCCAGUCACCCUGCUCUGCCUUUGGCUGGGUGCUCUCAAAGGUGGCAAGGCCAGGGAGAACUCAGUCUGAGGGCAGCUGGCAAGGCCUCUGUCCUCUGAUUCGCUCACCCCAGUGGCUGGCUGUCCCUCCAGCUUGGGGAUGGGUCCUUUGCUAAAGACUUCCUGGGGAAGCAGAGCAGUGUGUGUGUGUGUGCACACGUGUGUGUGCACGUGGACUUCUCCAAAGUAUCAGACCCACCAGCUAUUGGCUUAGCCACACCCCGCCUCUCUUUGUGCUUGGGUGUUCUUUGAUGGCAAAGGAUUUCCUUUGAAAGUGCAAAUUCCCCAGUGUUAGGCUAUUAGCUAAUCCUGAGCACCCAUUUCCACAUUUGCUGGGUUGAGUUGAAAGCAGAGAGAGAGAGAGAGAGUUCAAGGAUGAGGAUGCUGGCGAUUUCCUGGAGGGAAAGCAGACAGCAUCAGGACAAAGGAAUGUAGGCCUAUGGGGUGGGAGAGACGUGUACAGCUACGCGACUUUGUAGCUGCAGUUUUGCCCUGGCCAUGGGACUGCUAUGUUUCUGUGCGAAGAGAGCCCAAAUCAUCCUCUAGAAUCGGUGCUGAGCCUACCACCUGGUGUGGACAGCACGGAGGUGCAGGCGGGACCCUACACCCUCCCGGUCCCGGCCUCAGCUUUCAGUCAUUCUGCAAACCACCUGGCUUUAUGAGUGGGGGCUCGCACAAGACUUAAGAGAACAUGCAGGACCCAACGUCUCUGACUGGUUGUGCACUCAGAGGUAGUGGUUUCAGGAUGACUGCCCAAGACGUCUUUUGCAGUGCUUCUCAUGUGCAUGGUCUUUGAGUCUCCUUCAUUUCCUGGACUCGUAAGCACCUCAAAGUCUGCCAGGGUAUCUUAAGGACAGACCCAGGAAGCAUCACCAUGGUCAACUCCAUAUCACUUGCCUGAGUGAUGGGGCAUGGGAUUCGUGGGGACUAACUUUAGACCCCCUUGCUUUAACAAAACCCAAAAAGUUAUAAAAUUAUUCUACACUUGUGCUCAUCCUGUUUCUCACUUCCUGUUCCUUUUCUAAAUCCCACCCUGUCUUCAAGGCCUGGCCCAGAAGCUGCUGUGUGCAGCAUGAAGCCUUCCCUGGCCUCUUGUCCCAGAAGCACCUCCUACACUUGCUUUGCCUGGGUUGUUUCGUGCCUGCAACUUCCUCCUCUAGCUAAACUGUAAAUGGCUCCCGGGGGUGGGGGGGGCAAUGCCCCAUUUGUCUUUCCCCUCACUCGGUGUGUUGGAUGUAAUGAGGACGCGGCAGGGUGCGAAAUCCCCCUGAAGAAGGAUUUGAUGAGCACAGUUCCCAGGGAGUCCUUGAACUUGAGUUGAGAAGGAUCUCCCAAGGAGAAGCCAAGGACCAAGUCAGCCAAGGGAACACAUGACAGAUGCGGUUGCAUGUGCCCAGCCCUGUUCUAGGCACUGUGGGGAAACAGAAGGAAAAUGGUGUACAACUUUCGUUUCAAAGAGACAGAGGCUCCUGAAAGAAGCAAGAACAAGGAUGGAACAGUACAUUUCCGGAAAUAACUGUCGGGUUGCAUGUAGGAAUGUAACGAAAAGUCUUCCCCUGUCCCUUUCUGUCUCUGGGUAUCUCAUCCAUAAAGCAGAUCUAAGGGUUCCCGUUCCUCUUCCUUGUUGCCGUGAGCUGGCUCUCACCCCUCUCUCACUUCUGCAUUACUAUCAUGGCCUCCAGGCCUGCCUCCACCUCUGUCCACCUCUCUACCUGCCAGGCACACGCGUGUGGGGCCUUCCCUUACCGUGGGUCCAUUGUCAACACCUCCCUUCUCUAUACAACAGAUCAUUCUCAUAAACAAUCAUGGAUAACCAGUAAUGAUGUUUAUUUUCUUGGUAUGUUCGUUCAAUUCAAAACGAACAGUGUUUUUUAAAAAAAUGAAUAAAUUUAGGCCGGCGCCAUGGCUCA